rnacentral:rRNA from 1 species
GUACACUCCUGCGGGAGGCAGCAGUGGGGAAUAUUGGACAAUGGGCGCAAGCCUGAUCCAGCCAUGCCGCGUGAGUGAUGAAGGCCCUAGGGUUGUAAAGCUCUUUCACCGGUGAAGAUAAUGACGGUAACCGGAGAAGAAGCCCCGGCUAACUUCGUGCCAGCAGCCGCGGUAAUACGAAGGGGGCUAGCGUUGUUCGGAUUUACUGGGCGUAAAGCGCACGUAGGCGGACUAUUAAGUCAGGGGUGAAAUCCCGGGGCUCAACCCCGGAACUGCCUUUGAUACUGGUAGUCUUGAGUUCGAGAGAGGUGAGUGGAAUUCCGAGUGUAGAGGUGAAAUUCGUAGAUAUUCGGAGGAACACCAGUGGCGAAGGCGGCUCACUGGCUCGAUACUGACGCUGAGGUGCGAAAGCGUGGGGGGCAAACAGGAUUAGAAACCCCUGUAGUCC